rnacentral:rRNA from 1 species
UACGUAGGAGGCAAGCGUUGUCCGGAAUUACUGGGCGUAAAGCGCGUGUAGGUGGUGGGACAAGUCUGCUGUGAAAGCGCCUGGCUUAACCGGGCGAGGUCGGCGGAAACUGUCCGACUAGAGGACGGUAGAGGGGGGUGGAAUUCCCGGUGUAGUGGUGAAAUGCGUAGAGAUCGGGAGGAACACCUGUGGCGAAGGCGGCCAUCUGGACGACAAUUGACGCUGAGACGCGAAAGCGUGGGUAGCAAACAGG